GGAAGGAUCAUUAACACUAAUCCAUUUCAAUUAAACCUAGCCUAUUAGUUGCAGUAUGAGGAAAGCAAUGCAUUUAUGCAGAGUGGACCAAGUACUGCAGCACUCUUCAAAUCUAAUCACACAAAAGGGAAAUAACUAAGUCAUCCCUAAAAACCAAAUUCUCAACGAUGGAUAUCUUGGUUCCCAUAACGAUGAAGAACGCAGCGAAGUGCGAUAAGCAAUGCGAAUUGCAGAACCGUGAGUCAUCAGAUUUUUGAACGCAACUGGCGCCGACUGGCUCUCCAGUCGGCAUGCUUGUUUCAGUGUCUCUUUUUCUCAUCACCUAAAUCCUAAUGUGGGAGAUACCCUUCUCCUAUCAAGCACGAAGGCACUCUGUGCUCUGCUAGCUGAUUCGGCUCGUCCGAGUGCAGCACUCAAUGCAGCAGUCACAUUGCUCACAAUGUGAACUCAUUGAGAGUAGAGGCAGCUGCAGCUUCAUCGCUGCCAGUGCCUAGACACACUAACCUUUCUAAGACCUGAAAUCAAGCAGGAUCACCCGCUGAACUUAAGCAUAUCACUAAGCGGAGGAGAAGAAAUUAACUAAGAUUGCCUCAGUAACGGCGAGUGAAGCGGCAAGAGCCCAAAAUGGAAAUCUUGUACACAUCGUGUGCACGAAUUGUAAUCUAUAGGGGAUCCGCUCAACGGGUGGUGGCGCAGAAGUGCUCUCGAACGGGCCGCCAGAGAGGGUGACAGCCCCGUAUGUGGUGCCACCGCCUAACGAGCGCUUUUCCGAAGAGUCGGGUUGUUUUGUAUUGCAGCCCUAAGUGGGAGAUAAACUUCUUCUAAGGCUAAAUAUAUAUGGGAAACCGAUAGCGAACAAGUACUGUGAAGGAAAGAUGAAAAGAACUUUGAAAAGAGAGUCAAAAGACUUGAAAUCGUUGAGAAGGAAGCGGUAGAAAUUUAUCGUUCGCGGUUGGUCGGUGAGGGUCGCCUAACCAUUGCUGGUGUGUGGCACUUCAAAGGCUGCUGCCGGUACCUGGGGAAGCGUCCCCUUGACCUUCCGCGAUAGGCAAAAUGGGGUCGUGCAUCCGCAUAAGCUUCCCAUGCCUGGCCUGAUUCGUCGGGCAGCAUGGGUGUGCUGGCGGAGGUACGGCCUGAGGUAGCUUCGUGCGAUUUUGCCAAAAUGGUUUUUACCGACCCGUCUUGAAACACGGACCAAGGAGUCUAACAUAUAUGCGAGUGUGCUGGUGGAGAAACCAACACGCGUAAUGAAAGUGAGUGAUGCCAAGCGCAAGCAGCAGCAUCAACCGACCAUGAUCCUCUGGUGAAAGGUUUGAGUAAGAGCAUAUCUGUUAGGACCCGAAAGAUGGUGAACUAUGCCUGAGUAGGGUGAAGCCAGGGGAAACUCUGGUGGAGGCUCGUAGCGGUACUGACGUGCAAAUCGUUCGUCAAACUUGGGUAUAGGGGCGAAAGACUAAUCGAACCAUCUAGUAGCUGGUUCCCUC
rnacentral:misc_RNA from 1 species